GCCAUGCAUCCAGAGUAGGAGCUAGCUCCUCGCCAACCUGCAACUCCAAAGCAAGGUGGCCAAAUGAUGCGGCAAUCGCAACCAAUUGGAGAACA
rnacentral:ncRNA from 10 species